rnacentral:rRNA from 1 species
AUUGAACGCUGGCGGCAUGCUUUACACAUGCAAGUCGAACGGCAGCGCGGGCUUCGGCCUGGCGGCGAGUGGCGAACGGGUGAGUAAUACAUCGGAACGUGCCCAGUAGUGGGGGAUAGCUCGGCGAAAGCCGGAUUAAUACCGCAUACGACCUGAGGGUGAAAGCGGGGGAUCUUCGGACCUCGCGCUAUUGGAGCGGCCGAUGGCAGAUUAGCUAGUUGGUGGGGUAAAGGCCUACCAAGGCGACGAUCUGUAGCUGGUCUGAGAGGACGACCAGCCACACUGGGAAUGAGACACGGCCCAGACUCCUACGGGAGGCAACAGUGGGGAAUUUUGGACAAUGGGCGAAAGCCUGAUCCAGCAAUGCCGCGUGUGUGAUGAAGGCCUUCGGGUUGUAAAGCACUUUUGGCGGGAACGAAAAGGACUGUGCCAAUACCACGGUUCGAUGACGGUACCCGCAGAAUAAGCACCGGCUAACUACGUG